rnacentral:rRNA from 1 species
CAGCAGCCGCGGGAAUACGGAGGGUGCAAGCGUUACUCGGAAUCACUGGGCGUAAAGGACGCGUAGGCGGAUUAUCAAGUCUCUUGUGAAAUCUAACGGCUUGACCGUUAAACUGCUUGGGAAACUGAUAAUCUAGAGUAAGGGAGAGGCAGAUGGAAUUCUUGGUGUAGGGGUAAAAUCCGUAGAGAUCAAGAAGAAUACCCAUUGCGAAAGCGAUCUGCUGGAACUUAACUGACGCUAAUGCGUGAAAGCGUGGGGAGCAAACAGGAUUAGAUACCCGAGUAGUCCCUGUCUCUUAUAC